UAGUAUUCAUCAUGGCAAUCUGAUGGCAGCAGAAGAAAUGGCACCCCUGGCCAGGUGUGAGUCUAGCUGUGCAGAAGAACAGACACGAAAGGAGAUAGCCUGCCUGAAUAGAUGCCUGAAAAUUGUAUUGCCAGAGGCUUAGGAGGUGGAAACAGCA
rfam:Loxodonta africana unplaced genomic scaffold scaffold_4, whole genome shotgun sequence.